rnacentral:rRNA from 1 species
CAGCAGCCGCGGUAAUACGUAGGUCCCGAGCGUUGUCCGGAUUUAUUGGGCGUAAAGCGAGCGCAGGCGGUUAGAUAAGUCUGAAGUUAAAGGCUGUGGCUUAACCAUAGUACGCUUUGGAAACUGUUUAACUUGAGUGCGAGAGGGGAGAGUGGAAUUCCAUGUGUAGCGGUGAAAUGCGUAGAUAUAUGGAGGAACACCGGUGGCGAAAGCGGCUCUCUGGCUUGUAACUGACGCUGAGGCUCGAAAGCGUGGGGAGCAAACAGGAUUAGAUACCCCCGUAGUCCCUGUCUCUUAUACA